GGCAGGUGAUGUCUGUUUUCACGAUGGUCUUCAGAUGCCGGUGACAGGCGCUGCUGAGAAAGCCAGUUGGCAGAACUGAUGCCAGAAC
ensembl:snoRNA SNORD35B small nucleolar RNA SNORD35